rnacentral:rRNA from 1 species
CACGUAGGGUGCGAGCGUUGUCCGGAAUUAUUGGGCGUAAAGAGCUCGUAGGCGGUGUGUCGCGUCGAUCGUGAAAACUUGGGGCUUAACCCUGAGCUUGCGGUCGAUACGGGCAGGCUAGAGUUCGGCAGGGGAGACUGGAAUUCCUGGUGUAGCGGUGAAAUGCGCAGAUAUCAGGAGGAACACCGGUGGCGAAGGCGGGUCUCUGGGCCGAUACUGACGCUGAGGAGCGAAAGCGUGGGGAGCAAACAGG